rnacentral:rRNA from 1 species
CGAAUGCUGACGUGAGUAACGACAAAACGGGUGAAAAACCCGUUCGCCGAAAGACCAAGGGUUCCAGUCCAACGUUAAUCGGGGCUGGGUGAGUCGACCCCUAAGGCGAGGCCGAAAGGCGUAGUCGAUGGGAAAAUGGUUAAUAUUCCAUUACUUCUGUGUAAUGCGAUGAGAGGACGGAGAAGGCUAAAUCAGCCUGGCGUUGGUUGUCCAGGUGAAAGGAUGUAGGCAUGUAUCUUAGGCAAAUCCGGGGUACUCUAUGCUGAGAUCUGAUAGCAAGCUGUACUUGUACAGCGAAGUGGUUGAUGCCAUGCUUCCAGGAAAAGUCUCUAAGCUUCAGUUACACAGGAAUCGUACCCGAAACCGACACAGGUGGUCAGGUCGAGUAGACCAAGGCGCUUGAGAGAACUCUGCUGAAGGAACUAGGCAAAAUGGUACCGUAACUUCGGGAGAAGGUACGCUGUUGUUGGUGAUGGAACUCGCUUCCUGAGCUGACGACAGCCGCAGAAACCAGGCCGCUGCAACUGUUUAUUAAAAACAUAGCACUCUGCAAACACGAAAGUGGACGUAUAGGGUGUGAUGCCUGCCCGGUGCUGGAAGGUUAAUUGAUGGGGUUAGCGUAAGCGAAGCUCUUGAUCGAAGCCCCAGUAAACGGCGGCCGUAACUAUAACGGUCCUAAGGUAGCGAAAUUCCUUGUCGGGUAAGUUCCGACCUGCACGAAUGGCAUAAUGAUGGCGGCGCUGUCUCCAGCAGAGGCUCAGUGAAAUCGAAAUCGCUGUGAAGAUGCAGUGUACCCGCGGCUAGACGGAAAGACCCCGUGAACCUUUACUGCAGCUUGACACUGAACUUUGACCUUACUUGUGUAGGAUAGGUGGGAGGCUUUGAAGCUGGAACGCUAGUUCCAGUGGAGCCGUCCUUGAAAUACCACCCUGGUAAUGUUGAGGUUCUAACUCUGUCCCGUGAUCCGGGACGAGGACCGUGUCUGGUGGGUAGUUUGACUGGGGCGGUCUCCUCCUAAAGAGUAACGGAGGAGUACGAAGGUGCGCUCAGCGUGGUCGGAAAUCACGCGUAGAGUAUAAAGGCAAAAGCGCGCUUAACUGCGAGACCCACAAGUCGAGCAGGUACGAAAGUAGGUCUUAGUGAUCCGGUGGUUCUGUAUGGAAGGGCCAUCGCUCAACGGAUAAAAGGUACUCUGGGGAUAACAGGCUGAUACCGCCCAAGAGUUCAUAUCGACGGCGGUGUUUGGCACCUCGAUGUCGGCUCAUCUCAUCCUGGGGCUGAAGCAGGUCCCAAGGGUAUGGCUGUUCGCCAUUUAAAGAGGUACGCGAGCUGGGUUUAGAACGUCGUGAGACAGUUCGGUCCCUAUCUACCGUGGGCGCUGGAAAUUUGAGAGGAUCUGCUCCUAGUACGAGAGGACCAGAGUGGACGAACCUCUGGUGUACCGGUUGUGACGCCAGUCGCAUCGCCGGGUAGCUAUGUUCGGAAGGGAUAACCGCUGAAAGCAUCUAAGCGGGAAGCCUACCUCAAGAUAAGAUUUCCCUAGGACUUUAUGUCCUCUA